rnacentral:rRNA from 2 species
UUCUGUAGGUGAACCUGCAGAAGGAUCAUUA